UACGUAGGGGGCGAGCGUUGUCCGGAUUUAUUGGGCGUAAAGAGCGUGUAGGCGGUUCGGUAAGUCUGUCGUGAAAUCCUGAGGCUCAACCUUGGACGUGCGAUGGAUACUGCCGGGCUAGAGGAUGGUAGAGGCGAGUGGAAUUCUCGGUGUAGCGGUGAAAUGCGCAGAUAUCGGGAGGAACACCAGUAGCGAAGGCGGCUCGCUGGGCCAUUCCUGACGCUGAGACGCGAAAGCGUGGGGAGCGAACAGG
rnacentral:rRNA from 1 species